rnacentral:rRNA from 1 species
GACGAACGCUGGCGGCGUGCUUAACACAUGCAAGUCGUACGGUAAGGCCCUUUCGGGGGUACACGAGUGGCGCACGGGUGAGUAACACGUGAGUAACCUGCCCACAACUUUGGGAUAACGCUAGGAAACUGGUGCUAAUACUGGAUAUGUGUUCCUGCUGCAUGGUGGGGGUUGGAAAGCUCCGGCGGUUGUGGAUGGACUCGCGGCCUAUCAGCUUGUUGGUGGGGUAGUGGCCUACCAAGGCGGCGACGGGUAGCCGGCCUGAGAGGGUGACCGGCCACAUUGGGACUGAGAUACGGCCCAGACUCCUACGGGAGGCAGCAGUGGGGAAUAUUGCACAAUGGGCGCAAGCCUGAUGCAGCAACGCCGCGUGCGGGAUGACGGCCUUCGGGUUGUAAACCGCUUUCAGCAGGGACGAAGCUUUUUGUGACGGUACCUGCAGAAGAAGCACCGGCUAACUACGU